rnacentral:rRNA from 1 species
GACGAACCGUGCGAACGUUGUUCGGAAUCACUGGGCGUAAAGGGUGCGUAGGUGGCGCGGUAAGUCGGGUGUGAAAUCUCGGGGCUUAACUCCGAAACUGCAUUCGAUACUGCCGUGCUUGAGGACUGGAGAGGAGACUGGAAUUUACGGUGUAGCAGUGAAAUGCGUAGAUAUCGUAAGGAAGACCAGUGGCGAAAGGCGGGUCUCUGGACAGUUCCUGACACUGAGGCACGAAGGCCAGGGGAGCAAACGGG